rnacentral:rRNA from 1 species
GACGAACGCUGGCGGCGUGCUUAACACAUGCAAGUCGAACGCUGAAGCUCAGCUUUUGUUGGGUGGAUGAGUGGCGAACGGGUGAGUAACACGUGAGUAACCUGCCUCCUUCUUUGGGAUAACGCCCGGAAACGGGUGCUAAUACUGGAUAUUCACUGGUCUUCGCAUGGGGGUUGGUGGAAAGGGUUUUCUUGGGGGGGGUGGGCUCGCGGCCUAUCAGGUUGUUGGUGGGGUGAUGGCCUACCAAGGCUUUGACGGGUAGCCGGCCUGAGAGGGUGACCGGUCACAUUGGGACUGAGAUACGGCCCAGACUCCUACGGGAGGCAGCAGUGGGGAAUAUUGCACAAUGGGCGCAAGCCUGAUGCAGCGACGCCGCGUGAGGGAUGGAGGCCUUCGGGUUGUGAACCUCUUUCGCUCAUGGUCAAGCCGCAACAAUGGUUGUGGUGAGGGUAGUGGGUAAAGAAGCGCCGGCUAACUACGUG